AAGUCGUAACAAGGUCUCCGUAGGUGAACCUGCGGAGGGAUCAUUAGAAAUGCUUUGUUCUUUCUUUCCGACUUUUCUCGCUUACCCGAGAAAAUCGCAAAAAAGAAACAUCAUUUCCUGGCAUGUCUAGUUUUGCGCUCUUUCGUUCCUUCUUGGAGUGGAGGAGAGCGAAACUGGAUAAGCCAGACCCAUUUGUGUGCAGUCUGUGAUGAAAGUUUUUGCUUCCAUGGCAUUUUGCACAUAUAUCUACACCUUUAUUUAACUAUAUUGUCUGAAUCUAAAAUAUAUUCUAUGUCGAAAUAUCUAUUUUGAUAUAAAGUAUAAAAAAUUAAAAUUUAAAACAACUUUCAACAAUGGAUCCCUCGAUUCUCC
rnacentral:misc_RNA from 1 species